rnacentral:rRNA from 1 species
GCGGCAGGCUUAACACAUGCAAGUCGAACGAGAAGCUAGAGCUUGCUCUAGUGGAAAGUGGCAGACGGGUGAGUAUCGCGUGGGAACGUACCCUUUGGUUCGGAACAACUCAGGGAAACUUGAGCUAAUACCGGAUAAGCCCUCCGGGGGAAAGAUUUAUCGCCGAAGGAUCGGCCCGCGUCAGAUUAGGUUGUUGGUGGGGUAAAAGCCUACCAAGCCGAUGAUCUGUAGCUGGUCUGAGAGGAUGAUCAGCCACACUGGGACUGAGACACGGCCCAGACUCCUACGGGAGGCAGCAGUGGGGAAUAUUGGACAAUGGGCGCAAGCCUGAUCCAGCCAUGCCGCGUGGAUGAAGAAGGCCCUAGGGUUGUAAAGUCCUUUCACCGCUGAAGAUAAUGACGGUAAGCGGAGAAGAAGCCCCGGCUAAUUUCGUGCCAGCAGCCGCGGUAAUACGAAAGGGGCUAGCGUUGUUCGGAAUUACUGGGCGUAAAGCGCACGUAGGCGGCCUUGUAAGUUGGGGGUGAAAUCCCGGAGCUCAACUCCGGAACUGCCUCCAUAACUACAAAGCUCGAGGACGCGAGAGGACAGUG